rnacentral:rRNA from 1 species
AAUCGAGCGUGUGAUACAGAAGGGUUCUUCGCCUGGACUUCAACCUCAACGUAGCUAACAGCACGAGACGCCAUUCUGCUUGAAGCAGGCUCAUCCAUUGGAAUACGCAAGCUAGAACUAUGUCCACCAGACGGAAUGUCAUCGUAAGGACGAGGGCUUAUUCUCUUUCUGCUAAAAUACGAGAGAUUCCAUCCUGAGCGCAGCGCUUGCGCCAUACAGCGCGAGAAAGCGCAGGAGGCGGGAAGAUUGGAGCAAUGAUGAUAUUGAUAUGAGAUCAGACAACGGUACUAAUAAUGGCAUAAUGGAUUAUCGACAUUAUAUAGUAAAUGUACCUUUUGUAUAAUGGGUCAGCAAGUUAUUAAAAAUAGUAAGCUUAACUUUAAUAAAAGGUAGGCGUAGCGAAAGCGAGUUUUAAAUAAGCAUAAAAUUAUUUUUAAUAGUACCCGAAGCUAAGUGAUCUAACUAUGACCAAGCUGAUGUUAUUGUAAAAAAUAAUUGAGGGCUGAACCCGUGUAUGUAGCAAAAUACUGGGAUGAGUUGUGGUUCGGAGUGAAAGGCUAAUCAAACUUAGCAAUAGCUGGUUUUCUACGAAAUCUAUUUAGGUAGAAUGUUGUAUAAUUAAUUAUAGGGGUAGAGCACUUAUUACUUGAUGGGGAUCUGAUAGUCUUACUGAAAGUAGUUAAACUUCGAAUACUAUAAAACUCUUAAAUCUGAGAAAAUAUAC